rfam:Chlorocebus sabaeus isolate 1994-021 chromosome 29, whole genome shotgun sequence.
GUCUACAGCCAUACCACCCUGAACGCACCCGGUCUUGUCUGAUCCUGGAAGCUAAGCAGGGUCAGGCUUGGUUAGUAUUUGAAUGGGAGAUAAAAUGAAUAGUAGAAGGAAUAUGACU